GCGCUUUUUAUGGAAUAAAAUGGGAACAUGAUUUAAACCUGUAUAGUAAUGUGUUUACAAGUGAUUUUUUGUCAAUAGUUCUAGAAGGUGGAGUCAGACUUUUAUCAAAACCAGUUAACAAGAAAGAACCUAUCACUCACGAUAUAAUAAAGAGAGUCAUAGACAAGUUUGGUUUAUCUACUAAUUUAGCAGACUUAAGAAUUUGCUGUUUAGUCCUUUUGAGUUAUGCGGG
rnacentral:lncRNA from 1 species